GGGAAGCUGGCUCAGUGGUAGAGCGCUUGUCUUGCAUACAUGAGUGCAUGGGUUCGAUUCCUUAGCACCA
rnacentral:tRNA from 1 species